rnacentral:rRNA from 1 species
UGAGGAAUAUUGCGCAAUGGCCGAAAGGCUGACGCAGCGACGCCGCGUGAAGGAUGAAGUCCGUUAGGACGUAAACUUCUUUUGCAGGGGAUGAAUGUUCCGGUUUCCGGAAUUGACCGUACCCUGCGAAUAAGGAUCGGCUAACUACGUGCCAGCAGCCGCGGUAAUACGUAGGAUCCGAGCGUUGUCCGGAUUUACUGGGUGUAAAGGGCGUGUAGGUGGGUCUCUAAGUCGGUGGUGAAAUCCUGCAGCUUAACUGCAGAAUUGCCGUCGAUACUGGGGAUCUUGAGUACGGCAGAGGGAGAUGGAAUUCAUGGUGUAGCGGUGAAAUGUGUAGAUAUCAUGAAGAACACCGGUAGCGAAGGCGGUCUCCUGGUCCGUAACUGACACUGAGGCGCGAAAGCGUGGGGAGCAAACAGG